ensembl:lncRNA
UGGGGUUAUAUCCUGCCUGUUUGGCCCUGUCUGGGGGAAUCAUCGGAUGGGGCCACAGUGUCUCCUGACCUGUCUCAGCCUCCAGUAUUUAUGCUGCAGUAGUUUAUGUCCCGGGGGGCUAGGGUCAGUCUGUUAUAUCUGGAUUAUUUCUCCUGUCUUAUCCGGUGUCCUGUGUGAAUUUAAGUACGCUCUCUCUAAUCCUCUCUUUCUUUCUCUCUCUCUCUCUCUCUCUCUCUCUCUCUCUCUCUCUCUCUCCGAGGACCUGAGCCCUAGGACCAUCUGGCAUGAUGACUCCUUGCUGUCCCCAGUCCACCUGGCCGUGCUGCUGCUCCAGUUUCAACUGUUUUGCCUGUGGCUAUGGAACCCUGACCUGUUCGCUGGACAUGCUACCUGUCCCAGACCUGCUGUUUUCAACUCUCUAGAGACAGGAGGAGCGGUAGAGAUACUCUCAAUGAUCGGCUAUGAAAAGCCAACUGACAUUUACUCCUGAGGUGCUGACCUGUUGCACCCUCGACAACUACUGUGAUUAUAAUUAUUUGACCAUGCUGAUGCUGUCUCAAUGAAGACUGGACUUCUUUGCCGAUUAUCUCCCAUAGAAGUGAAGGCGUGUUCCAUUGGGAAUGACUGACAUCACACAUUUUCCUAAAAAGACAAAACCGGCCAGCAGGACCUAAAACUAUUCUGUCUGAAUAGAUUAUUGUAUGAUACAUUCAUAGUUUUUUUUUGUAACAAAGUGUAUAUUUUUGUACUGAAUCUGUUAAUACCUCGUGUUUAGCAAUUCAAAAAUGCCUUAAUGAUGACAGUCAAACUCAAGAACUCAGUGUUUGCAACAACAACAAACAAAUACAUUUGGUGCUGUGUCUGUCGGUGGUCUUUAAAGCAUACUUUCUGCCCAUUGAAACAAGACAAAAUGGGAAACUUCUGUUCUUUUAAUAAAAUUGUUGAAAACAAAUCAAUUCAUGAAUAAUAAUACAAAAAAAAAAAUGUAAUCUCACAAUUGAAUGGCAGCGCCCUUAUACUUGGACUGAACAUUUACAAUGUAUAGUACUGCUUCCAGUGCUGGCCCAUUCCAGUCAAAAGGAAUAGGGGGGAGGAAGGUAUUGCAUUCGAUCACACAAAUGUACUCUAUAAUUCAUUAUGCUGGAGACAGUAUUGGCAACAAUUAAAAAUUUGACCUAUUGAGUGAGUCAAAUUUUGCAUGGUUAUAAAUAUGCUAUAGACAUGAAACCACCAGCAUCCAAGUGGUAAAAAAAAUAUUUAAAAAAUUAUAGAAAAAGUUACAAAAUUUAAAACACUAAAAAAUUCUAACAUGAAAAUAGUGAUUCCAGAUCACCAAAAUAUUUAGACAAUUCACAUAUUUCUUUUCACCAUAACACUGUAAACUCAUGCAAUAAAAAAUGGGGUUGUUGUGUCAGUAACAAUUGUGCCAUCUUCCCGGCAAAUUUGUUACUCAACGUUUUCCCAAAACAAAGUCACUAUUCCAGUAUCUAUAAUAUCCCUUGAACAUGACUUUGGGUUUCCAACCAUCUUUAUCAAAGGUUCAUCGUAAGGGCAGUUUGUGACUUAUUUUCCUUCUCUGCCAUAGUUUCUGGUGAAGAAUGAGGGGGAUUCGUGACCAUCUUUAUCAAGAGUUCAUCAUCGGAGUUCUCCUUAUCCCCUGGCAAAUAAAUAAACAACUAUAGGUGCUCUGCAUAAUAGGUAGAGAAUAGCCCAUUUCAAUGUUAUCUAUCAAACAGUGCAGCUGUAGACUAUGUCAAAGGUAUUCCAUAUGAGAACGGAAAUAUACGAUAAGAGGAAUUCUUACCUGCACUUCUUUUACCAGUGUUUCCCACGUUGGCUCUAUAGUUAUCUUCCAAGACUUCUUUUGUGUCACAUCUCUCCAGAAUCACCAUUAGGCUCUUCAUUUGUGGAUUUCUCACCAUCUUUUUACUCAAGGGCUCAUCGUCUGAGCUGUCAUCCAAAGACCC